GUGCCAGCAGCCGCGGUAAUACGGAGUGUGCAAGCGUUACUCGGAAUCACUGGGCAUAAAGCGCGCGUAGGCGGGCUUUCAAGUCGGUUGUGAAAUCCCCCAGCUCAACUGGGGAACUGCAUCCGAUACUGUUUGUCUUGAGGACGAGAGGGGAGAGUGGAACUUCUGGUGGAGCGGUGAAAUGCGUAGAUAUCAGAAGGAACGCCGGUGGCGAAAGCGGCUCUCUGGCUCGUAUCUGACGCUGAUGCGCGAAAGCUUGGGUAGCAAACGGGAUUAGAUACCCUAGUAGUCC
rnacentral:rRNA from 1 species